rnacentral:rRNA from 1 species
GGCGGCGUGCUUAACACAUGCAAGUCGAGUGCGCAGUCGUAGCAAUACGACUGGCGCACGGCGCACGGGUGCGUAACACGUGGGCAAUCUGCCCUCGGAUGGGGGAUACCCCCGCGAAAGCGGGACUAAUACCGCAUGAAAUUCCGAAGACUUCGGUCUUUGGACUCAAAGCCCGCAAGGGCGUCUGAGGAGGAGCCCGCGCCCGAUUANCUAGUUGGUGAGGUAACGGCUCACCAAGGCAAUGAUCGGUAGCCGGUCUGAGAGGAUGGCCGGCCACACUGGAACUGAGACACGGUCCAGACUCCUACGGGAGGCAGCAGUGGGGAAUAUUGCGCAAUGGGCGAAAGCCUGACNCAGCGACGCCGCGUGGGGGAUGAAGCUUUUCGGAGUGUNAACCCCUUUCGACCCGGACGAAUGACCCGCAAGGGUUUGACGGUACGGGU